GGUAUUGAAAUAAGAUUUUAAAUGAGUGCUAAGAGAAUGAUUAAACAAUUAAAAGCUUUCUUUAAUUAAAUAAUUAAAUUUAAUUUUUUUAGUGCAAAAGCAAAAAUGAAAUUUAGGGACAAGAAGACCCUAUGAAUUUUUAUUGUUAAUGAUUUAAAUUUUAAUUAUUAACAAUUUAAUUGGGGUGAUAAAAAAAGAAUAAGUAUCUUUUUAAUUAUAAAAUAAGUUCCGUUUUUAGCGAUUAAAUGAAAUAAAUACUCUAGGGAUAACAGCGUAAUAAUUUUAGAUAGUUCAUAUAGAUAAAAUAGUUUGCGACCUCGAUGUUGGAUUAGGAUUCUUUUUUGGUGAAGAA
rnacentral:rRNA from 1 species